UGNCCUCCUAUUUUCAGUUGGUUUUGGCAGCGCGAGGACUAGGGUAAUGAUUAAUAGGGAUAGUUGGGGGCAUUAAUAUUUAAUUGUCAGAGGUGAAAUUCUUGGAUUUAUGAAAGAUUAACUUCUGCGAAAGCAUCUGCCAAGGAUGUUUUCAUUAAUCAAGAACGAAAGUUAGGGGAUCGAAGACGAUCAGAUACCGUCGUAGUCUUAACCAUAAACGAUGCCGACCAGCGAUUAGGAGACGUUGAAUACAAAACACCACCAUCGGUUGCGGUCAUCCUUGGCGU
rnacentral:rRNA from 1 species